rnacentral:rRNA from 1 species
UGGGGAAUUUUGGACAAUGGGCGCAAGCCUGAUCCAGCAAUGCCGCGUGCAGGAAGAAGGCCUUCGGGUUGUAAACUGCUUUUGUCAGGGAAGAAAUCCUCUGGGUUAAUACCUCGGGGGGAUGACGGUACCUGAAGAAUAAGCACCGGCUAACUACGUGCCAGCAGCCGCGGUAAUACGUAGGGUGCGAGCGUUAAUCGGAAUUACUGGGCGUAAAGCGUGCGCAGGCGGUUGUGCAAGACAGGUGUGAAAUCCCCGGGCUUAACCUGGGAACUGCACUUGUGACUGCACGGCUAGAGUACGGUAGAGGGGGAUGGAAUUCCGCGUGUAGCAGUGAAAUGCGUAGAUAUGCGGAGGAACACCGAUGGCGAAGGCAAUCCCCUGGACCUGUACUGACGCUCAUGCACGAAAGCGUGGGGAGCAAACAGGAUUAGAUACCCUGGUAGUCCACGCCCUAAACGAUGUCAACUGGUUGUUGGACGGCUUGCUGUUCAGUAACGAAGCUAACGCGUGAAGUUGACCGCCUGGGGAGUACGGCCGCAAGGUUGAAACUUAAAUGAAUUGAC